CGAACGCGCGCAUGUUUGGACGUACAUACGUCUCGUCUCCAGAGUUGUGAAGCCGUUCAAGCAAAGUGUAACGGAAAUUUCAGCUGCCGCUCAGCUGCGCGCGUCGCGCUCUCGCUUCUGUUGUGUUGUGUUGUGUUGUGUGUGCCGUGUUAAUGUUGUUGUUGCUGCCAUUGGCAACAGCGUUUAUUGAAAAAAAAAGUAUUUAAACUGCAUUAGUUGUUCAACAAAUUGCAAAGCGGGAAAUCAAAAUUAAAAUGAAAUAAAAAAUAAAAAAACUGCAGUGAAAAUGUGUGUAAAAGUGAAUAUUUAAAAUCAAAUAAACGUGUGUAAAACGAAAGAAAAAAAUAAAUAAAUAGAGACGAAUACCUUAACGAAAAGUUUCGUGCUGCUGCUGGCAAAAUGAUUGUGAAAAUGGAACCCGACGAACUAAUCACCUUUCGUGUGCAGUAUCUGCUGGAUAGCGAUCCGCUGUCGGCGACCACCGCCUUCCCCAUACCUGUGCGUGCACCGACCUACGCCUUUGCCACCACCAUGCCCCUGGCCACGCAGCUGGGCACCAUACUGAGGCUGUUGAAUGCACCGCAAAGCAUCGAUGACGCAGCUAUUCAGGUGUACAAGGAUGGUGACUUUGGCGCCUAUCUGGAUCUGGAGUCAUCGCUGGCCGAACAGACCGAGGAAAUCGAGGGCCUUCAAGCCAGUCGCAAAAACUCUCUGGUCGUUCGCACACAGCUGAGCGUACGCGUUCAUGCCAUAAUAGAGAAACUACUCUCAUCGGAGGGCAGCGAUCUGCGCCGCGCCCUCUUUUCGCUCAAGCAGGUGUUCCAGGAGGAUAAGGAUCUGGUGCACGCAUUCGUCGCUCUGGGCGGUCUCAAUUGCCUGGUGCGCGUGGGCAAUUGCGCCGAUCAGAACUAUCAGAACUAUAUACUGCGUGCUCUUGGCCAGGUCAUGCUCUAUGUGGAUGGCAUGAAUGGCGUCAUGAAGCACCAGCCCACCAUGGAGUGGCUGUACUCAUUGAUCGCCUCCAAUUACCGAUCAGUGGUCAAGACGGCGCUUAAGCUUUUGCUCGUGUUUGUGGAAUAUGCCGAGUCCAAUUGUUAUGUGCUGGUGAGCGCCAUUCAUGCGGUCGACAAAGCCCAAGGCACACUGCCCUGGGCCAAUAUUAUGAGACUGCUUAAGGACUACGACAAUGCAGAUGCGGAGCUGGUGAUCUAUGCCACGUCGCUGAUCAACAAAACGCUAGCGGGUCUCACGGAUCAGGAUAGCUUCUAUGAUGAGAGCGAUCUGCUCGAACAGCAGGGCAUGGAAACGGUUAUACAGCGCUACAUGUCCAAGCCGGGCACAGAUCUCGAUCUGCUCGAUCAGCUGCAGCUGUACGAGGCCGUCUUGAAAUUCGAGGAUGGCGAAUCGGAUGGCCAGCGUUUGCCGCAGAACUCAUUGCGCAAGACGCAACGUUAUCGGCCCGGCUCGGGCACCACAGAGCGCCGCAAGUCGCGCCGCCACAGCACGGACAACAGUCCGGCGCCCUUGACCAAGGUGCUGCCCACCACGGUGCUGCGCAUGACGCCCACGCAGGCCACGCUCGAUGAGGACGACAGCUCCGGCUCCACAAACUCCACAGAGUUCGGCAACGGCAUAUUCCAGGAUAAGAAGCCAAGGGAUAGCGCUGGCGUCACGCCUGGACUGAGACGCCGCCGUGAGCGCGCCGAGCGGCACAAGAGCUUCCUCAAGGAGCAGGAGGAGGCGGCCGCCAAUGGCAUCUUUGCGGCACGUGAGCUGCGCGAAAGCUAUGGCCAAAUUGUAACCGCCAUUCCUGCAACCAUACAAAGCGGCGACAGCCCGCCGCAGUCAUUGCAAUCUGAGCUGCCGCAGCCGCAGCCACAGCUACAGCUACAGCUACAGCCACAGCCUCUGCCUGCGCCCACGCCCUACAACAUCAUCAGCAACAAUAUCCAGAACAACAAUAGCAACAACAAUAGCCAUCACACCCACAACAACCACAUUGACACGCCCAACAACAGCCUGCUGCUGAGCCCCACCAAGCAGCUAUUGAGUGGCAGCCAGAGCAUCUCGAUCAUCAACAACAGCUUCGACAAGGCCAACAAUAAUAUGAACAAUCAGAAUGAGUUCCUUACCAAAAAGAAUCUCUUUCGGGAGCGCAACGCAACUGUGAUCAAUGGCAUCAUGAAGAACAUACAGCAGACGGACAGUGCUUACAAAAAGUAUGAGAACGAUGCCAAUCGCCUGAACAACUACUACACACAGCUCAGCCAAUCGCCCAAGCAUCAGCUGGUGGCCACAGCACAGGAUGUGCUCAGUCCCAAAAAGACGCUGAACGCCUUUGAAUUUGCGCCCGCCAGCUCGACGCCGCUGAAGGCAGAUGCGCUGCCCGCACCCGAACCGCUGAGUCCCAUACACAAGCCGGCGGUUGUGGCGCCACCACCACCACCACCACCGCCGCCGCCGCCACCACCGCCAGGCUGGUGGCAUUUUCCCAUACAGCCAAAUGCAGCUAGAACCCUAACCAGUACUAACCCAGAGCCACAGCCUCAAGCAGCUAUGGAUGCGACAGAUCUGGAGGACAAGGAAAUGUUAAUGCAGCUGAAACGCGAUCAUACAGUCAAAGAUCUGACACAGAAACUAUGCAAUCUGCCCACAAGUCCCACACAGGAGGUGCCCGGCAGUCGGGCCAUAGUCGGUGACAUGUCUGGCCUCAUAUCGAAAGCCAAAGAGGGGCUUGCCAAGAGCAAGAGCAAAGGUGAAAUUUCACGAUCAUCGAGCGUUGAUCAGGAACUGAAAAAGGCUGAGCCGAAGAAAUCGGAGAACGAGCUGCACUGGGAGGAGCUGGUGCGGAAUAUGACACGUCCAUUGAAUCUGUGUGAUCUGGACUUUACCGAUCUACAUUCGGACGAUGAGAAGGAUGUGCUGGCGCCGCGUGGUCUCGGCGCUGGCAUACCCCCACCACCGCCUCCCCAGGCGGGUGGCAUGGUCAUGCCGCCGCCUAUGAUGCCGCCGAGCCUGGCGCCGCCGCCCAUGUUCAGCUACGGGGGCUACGGUGCCGGCAGCCUGACCAACAGCGUGAACAGCUCACUGAACGGCUCCAUCAACGGGGAGCUGGCCAAUGGCAACAACACCAUCAAGAAGAACAAGAAGACGGUCAAGCUCUUCUGGAAGGAAGUGCGCGAGGACAUGAUACCGCAGGUGAUAGGUAAGACCAUUUGGGAUGAGCUGCCCAAUGCGAAUGUGGACACGCAAAAGCUCGAGCAUCUCUUUGAGUCGCGGGCCAAAGACUUGAUGACCAAGAAGCAACAGGAGCUGAACAAGAGCAAAGAGAUCAUCGUGCUGGACCACAAGCGCUCCAAUGCCAUCAACAUUGCGAUCACCAAGCUACCGCCGCCGCGCGCCAUUAAGGCGGCCAUUCUGAAGAUGGAUGCAACUGUGGUGACCAGGGAGGGCAUUGACAAGCUGCUGAACAUGCUGCCCACGGAUGAGGAGCGCGGCAAGAUACAGGAGGCACAGCUAUCGAAUCCAGAGCUGCCGCUGGGCAGCGCCGAGCAGUUCCUACUGACCCUGGCCUCCAUCACGGAGCUGGGCGCACGCCUUAAGCUGUGGGCCUUCCGUCUGGACUUUGAUAACUGCGAGAGAGAGAUUGCCGAACCGCUGAUGGAUCUCAAGCAAGGCAUUGAGAUUCUGCGUCAGAAUCGCACCUUUCGCAGCAUACUCUCCACGCUGCUGUCGGUGGGCAUCUUUCUGAAUGGGGCGCCGGUCAAGGGCUUCCAGAUCGAGUAUCUGGCCAAGGUGCCCGAGGUGAAGGACACGGUGCACAAGCACUCGCUGCUGCAUCAUCUCUGCCACAUGGUCAUGGAGUCCAGCAGCGAUACAAGCGAUUUGUAUUCGGAAAUUGGACCCAUUACGCGCGCCUCCAAGGCGGACUUCGCCGACCUUGCCCACAAUCUGACCCAACUGGAGUCAGAGUGCAAGGCCUCCUGGGAUCGCCUCAAGCUGAUUGCCAAGCACGACUGUGCGCCGCCGCUGAAACAGAAACUCGUCGACUUUCUGGCCGAUUGUGCAGAGCGCAUCAUCAGCCUGCAGAUUGUGCAUCGGCGCGUAAUGAAUCGCUACCGCAAGUUCCUGCUGUGGCUGGGUAUGCCGCAGCACAGUGUGUCCGAGUCGCGACCCAACGAGUUCUGUCGCACGCUCUCCGAGUUCGCGCUGGAGUAUCGCACGACACGGGAGCGCGUCCAGCAGCAGCUGGAGAAGAAGGCCAAUCAUCGCGAGCGCAACAAGACACGCGGCAAGCUGAUCAUCGACAUGGCCAAGUUCAAGACCAAAGAAGAUGUGGCCGAUGCCGAGCUAAAGCAACUGCUGGGCACGCCCAGCGCGGAUCAGGCCGACGGCACACUCACCUGGCGACGCCGGCGCGCCGAGCAGCUGCGUUCGCCCAUCGCCAGGCAGAGCGAGGAGCAGUUUACCGAUGGCGAUGAUGAAAUACUUGAAUCUCUCGUCAAGACGGCCACCAAGGCCUCCGGCAACCGCACCACGCCCCGGGAGCGCAAGCGUACACGCCAUGCGGAUCGCAAGUCCUUGAAGCGCAGCCGCACGCGCGAGGGAUUCACAGUUGAAAGAGCGCCAUCGCCAUAGAACCGUUGCGCAGCUGUUGCGCAACUGUUACCGAAAAGAACAGUCAAACUGUUCUCAUUUAGGUUUUUACCCCUUUAUUUUGUGCGUCGAACGCUGAAGAACGGUCUCACCGAUGAGGAGAAGCAGCAUGUGUCUGCCCUAAUACAAACCUAUUAAAGCUAAGAAAAUCCCCUGGGCGAAACCCUAAUCCCAUCCCAGAAACCCGAGCAAACCUCGCCAGUGACGUCACAAGUCCGGGCAAUGCGCGCACAGACUGAAAUUGGCGAUCUCAUGUGCAGCAGCAGAUGCAGCCGAGCAAUAGGUACACGAAACUAGUAGUUCCGGUUCCGGUUCCGGAACCGUUGUACCGCAACUCCCAUAAAUCUGAAACGACACAGUCCUACAGAAGUUCUCUUAAUCCAUUUCUGUUAUUCGAUAUUUGUUUUUACUUCGUCUAAGUAUUAAAAUUAAACAUAUUUUUUAUUUUGUAAC
rnacentral:misc_RNA from 1 species